rnacentral:rRNA from 1 species
UGGGGAAUUGUUCGCAAUGGGCGCAAGCCUGACGACGCAACGCCGCGUGGAGGAUGAAGAUCUUCGGGUCGUAAACUCCUGUCGAGCGGGACGAAUGCCUUGCCGGUGAAUAUCCGGCGAGGGUGACGGUACCGCUAAAGGAAGCCCCGGCUAACUCCGUGCCAGCAGCCGCGGUAAUACGGGGGGGGCAAGCGUUGUUCGGAAUUACUGGGCGUAAAGGGCUCGUAGGUGGCGAUUCAAGUUAGAUGUGAAAGGCCCGGGCUCAACCCGGGAACUGCAUUUGAUACUGAAUUGCUAGAGUCCAAGAGAGGGUAGUGGAAUUCCCAGUGUAGAGGUGAAAUUCGUAGAUAUUGGGAAGAACACCAGUGGCGAAGGCGGCUACCUGGCUUGGUACUGACACUGAGGUGCGAAAGCGUGGGGAGCGAA